rnacentral:rRNA from 1 species
UACGUAAGUGGUGGAAAUUAAACCAAAUGGGAUAUCUUUAGUAAUUGCGAAUGAACAAGGAUAUGCUUAGCUUGACAAAUGGAGCUAUUGGCUUUGAAUUGUAUUUGUGGAAUGUAUUACCAACAGAGGUGCAGGUGCCAGCCUAUUAAAUAAAGCGUCAAUGAGGGUGAGAAUCCUGUUUGUCAUGUGCAGCCCUUUGUGCACGGUGUAUAUUUGCUGAGUCACACUCCUUGGCAUUGGAAUGCAAAGUGGGUGGUAAGUUUCAUGUACAGGUAAACAUGCAAUUGAGACUGAUAGCACACAAGUACCAUGAGGGAAAUAUGAAAAGGACUUUGAAAAGAGAAUUAAAUGAGUUUGUAUUUGCUGAACACAAAGUAAACAGACUUGAUUUGCUUGGUGGGAGUGUUGCACUUGCUUGACAAGAGCUUUGGGCUGUGGGUGUAAUGAUUCUUUCUUUGCAUGCCAGUUUCUAUGUGUACAUCUGAUUACCUUUGCACAUGAAUGAUAAGUCUCCUGUGGGGGGUGGAUUGCAUGUGCAUGUAAUGAUUUGUGUUUUGAUAAAUGUGUCUGGUGUAUGUGUGUGUGUUCCUGUGCUUGGGGAUGCUUCCUUCCUUGGACUUACAAGCCCUGACACACACAUGCUGGCAAAAUGCUUCUGCUUGACCCG